rnacentral:rRNA from 1 species
UACGUAGGGUGCGAGCGUUAAUCGGAAUUACUGGGCGUAAAGCGUGCGCAGGCGGUUCGUUGUGUCGGCGGUGAAAGCCCCGGGCUCAACCUGGGAAUGGCCGUUGAAACUGGCGGACUGGAGUGUGGCAGAGGGGGGUGGAAUUCCGCGUGUAGCAGUGAAAUGCGUAGAGAUGCGGAGGAACACCGAUGGCGAAGGCAGCCCCCUGGGUCAAAACUGACGCUCAUGCACGAAAGCGUGGGGAGCAAACAGG